rnacentral:rRNA from 1 species
GAUGAACGCUGGCGGCGUGCCUAAUACAUGCAAGUCGAGCGAACGGACGAGAAGCUUGCUUCUCUGAUGUUAGCGGCGGACGGGUGAGUAACACGUGGAUAACCUACCUAUAAGACUGGGAUAACUUCGGGAAACCGGAGCUAAUACCGGAUGAUAUUUUGAACCGCAUGGUUCAAAAGUGAAAGACGGUCUUGCUGUCACUUAUAGAUGGAUCCGCGCUGCAUUAGCUAGUUGGUAAGGUAACGGCUUACCAAGGCAACGAUGCAUAGCCGACCUGAGAGGGUGAGCGGCCACACUGGAACUGAGACACGGCCCAGACUCCUACGGGAGGCAGCAGUAGGGAAUCUUCCGCAAGGGGCGAAAGCCUGACGGGACAACGCCGCGUGGGUGAUGAAGGUCUUCGGAUCGUAAAACUCUGUUAUUAUGGAAGAACAUAUGUGUAAGUAACUGUGCACAUCUUGACGGUACCUAAUCAGAAAGCCCCGGCUAACUACGUG